GACUCUGUGGCUCCCCGAAAAUGGGCGCACGAGCCUAUGCCAGAAUUUGUUAUAGGUCACGUGCCGAGGUCAACGAAUGUGCGUAAAAAUGAUAGUUUCGAAAAUGAGGUCGAUAGAAUUUGGCGAGUGUGAAUACAUUAUGAAGUGAUCCGGUAAAUACGUUUCGAUUCGCUCGUUUUAACACAUCGAUUUAAACGAUCUAACGUAACGUACUCGUUCGUAUCAUCGGAAAUGUCAAAGUAAUUCGCGACAUUUUUUGGUCCUCCGGGCCGGAUCGCUUAACGUUCGAUAUCGUGAAAUACUUGCGCUCGAUUUUGCAUGUCUCUGACGUUUAACGUAAUGAGCAUGAGGCAUGCCCUUCUCGAGCUGUAACGUAAGCCUUUUGCACAGUCUGUUUUUGUAAUUGUCUUUCCGACAAUGGAUAGUGCUUCGUUAAGAAAACUGAGAAGUCGAAAGAAGGCUCAGUUUACAAGACUGUGUAAACGGGCUGAUACUUUGGUCGACACAUCGGGAAGCCGAAGCCAAAUCGAAGGCUUACUUAAAGAGCUUGAUGAGGCUCUAGACGCUGUAAGUGAAGUGAAUGACAGCUACACGGACAGCCUGAAAGAUGACGACCGUGAAAAGGAUCAGACCGAAGAAUACAUGACAGACGUCGAAGAAGCACAUCAGAAGAUUUGUGAACGCAUUCGUGAACACUUCAGAUCCCGUGGGGAAUUAGCGUCGUCAGAGUCAGGAACAAGCAAAACAACUUCGAAGUCACAGUCUGCUGUCUCCAGUCGGUCAAGUCGAUCUGCGGCCGCAAAGGAAGCCGAAAUCGGAGCAUCCCUGAAACGAAUGGAGCUCAGUCAGCUCGAACUACGGAUAGAAGAAGAAAGAAAAAGAGACGAGCUGAAAGAGAACUUAGAGAGGCAGAGACGAGAGAUAGAUCGAGAGGCACGAAUCGCCGAAGCCAGAGAUGCUGCACAUCUCGCAGCAAGAGAAGCGGAGCUGCGUAAGGCAGCAGAAAAUGAACUUCAGUGGGAACGGCGGCACGAUUUUGACGGCGAAAACGAACUCGCUGGACCUUCUCAAGAACAAGAACGAGUUGGAACAGCAGAAGAAGGACUUGCAAUCGAAGCUGACACCCCUGUGGCUGAUAAGUCUCAAACGGAAACUGGUAAUCGGCCGGCGCCGGAGCUGACUCGGGGUCAGACAGCUACAUCAUGGAUAUUGGAAGCUGCGAACAGGCCACAAGACACAGAACCGCCGAGAAAUGGUCACUCGGGCUAUCGGAGUGUCCCGCAGAUUCAGCUCCCAAAGUUUAGCGGUAAGGCCACUGAGUGGCCCCAGUGGAUUGGCCUUUUUAAAUCGCUCAUCCACGACCAGCCAGGCCUAUCGGACGCUGAAAAACUCGCCCAUCUCCAGGCAUCCGUAACUGGUCUAGCUAAGCAGGCUGUCGAAGGAAUGAUGUUCGAUGCAGCGCUGUAUCCUUCCGCUCUACAAGCUCUGAUGAAACGAUUCGGGAGAGAAGACGAUAUCGUGAGCGCAAGCCUCAGUGCCGUCUUCAACACGUCUCCAAUGAAAAAUGUGGACCCGGUCAUGCUGGAAAAGCUACACGCCGCCGUUCACUCCGCGGUCACAGUGCUGAACGCCAUGGGUUUCCACGGAGACCUUAACAGUACUGAGAACCUACGUCGCAUCAUUUUCAAACUUCCGAAUGACUUGAAAAGAGAGUGGGGACGUGAGGUCAUCAAAAUGGAGCCGGAGCGCCCAAACAUGACACACUUUGAUAGCUGGCUGGGACUACAAGUUCGAAUCGCAAUGGCCGUUCCUGCUCAGCCGCAAGAUCGCAACAUGGCACGCCCCAGUUCUGACUUCAGGCGCGCGCCCCGCACUCACUCGACAUCGGUUGCUGUAACGACGACUCCUGAGGUCAGCGACAAGAGCGCAACACGUCGACAGCAAGUCAGUCACAACGAGCAGCCCUGCUGCUGUGGGGAGCGACACGAUCUCGCCGUUUGUCCGUCCUUCCUGCAAAAAUCGCCAAAUGACCGCGCUAAGUUUGUCGCUGAAAGCGGGCGCUGCUUCCUCUGUCUUCAGCCCGAUCAUCGGUCUCGGCAGUGCCGAUCCACGCAAAAAUGCGGAGAGAACAGGUGCCAGGGAAGGCACCAUCACCUGCUCCACGGCAGCGAAAGAAUCUUCUCUCGUGCAGCCGGCACUGAGGAACGUUCAAACAGAACAGUGGCAGCAGCCUCAGGUCUCGGAGGGACGACACUGCUACAAAUAGUACCUGUGCGUGUACAUGGCGAACACAGCUACAUCGACACAUUCGCCGCUCUCGAUUCCGGUGCACAGACCUCGCUGUGCACGGAAAAUCUGGCGAAAAAGCUCAAACUGACGGGUGAAUCGGAGUCGCUCCGUCUUAACAGUAUCGAAGGAGCCGGGCCACAGAGAAUCGCUCUGAGAACGUCCAUGAAAAUCACCCCCCUGGCUCGGGAAUCGGAAGAAACAGAAGUCAUGGCAAAUGAAGUGUGGACAGUACCGAGGCUGAAUAUUCCCGUGCCAUACAUCAGCAGCUCAGCACGUUCGCAGUGGCGUCAUGUGGAGGGGCUUGACGUCGCGCUUCCGAGGCCAGAGCAGGUGGAGGUCCUUCUUGGAGCAAACAUUAUCGAAGGAAUCAUCCAGCGCGAGGUUCGAAUCGGAGAGCCUGGCCAGCCUGUGGCCAUAAAGACGCACUUUGGAUGGGCUUUGACCGGAACGAUAACAAACCUCGUUCCAUCGUCAGAACAUCACGUGAUGCAUGUUCAUCGGAGCCCAGCACAGGACCUCGAUCUGACCAACCUGGUUCAGAAGUGGUGGGACAUGGAGACUUUUGGAACAACACACUCCAAGGUGAAGCCUACAUCGUAUGAAGACCAAAGAGCUCUAAAAAUCCUUGAAGAAACGGUCGAGCUGGUGGACGGGCGUCUUGAAGCCCCACUGCUGUGGAAAGACGAUGACGUCUCGCUGCCGGAUAACCGUCUCGGUGCGCUCCGUCGACUCGAGCGAAGCGAGAAAUCUCUCCAUAGAAGUCCAGAGACAAGAAAGAAAUACCAAGAAACUAUCGAAAGCUACGUGCAACUCGGUCACGCCCGAAAGCUCGAAGAAUCGGAAGUGUUGAAACCGAGCUCAAAACGCUGGUACCUGCCACAUCAUGCGGUUCGCAAUCCAAACAAGCCGGACAAAAUACGGGUCGUAUUCGACGCGGCCGCCAAGUUCAGUGGCACGUCCCUGAACGAUCACCUGUUGACUGGACCCGAUCUCCUGCAGGACCUACCUGGGCUGCUCAUUCGGUUUCGUGAGCGGCCAGUCGCAAUCGCUGGAGACAUCGACCAGAUGUUCCACCAGGUGCAAAUUCUACAGCGUGACCGACCAGCCCUCAGCUUCUUGUGGAGGGACAUGGAGCGGAACAGACCUCCUGACACGUAUGAAAUGAACAAAGCGAUAUUCGGAGCCAAAUGCUCACCAGCAAUCGCCAGUUUUGCACUGCAACUAGUCAUCAAGAACGGCUCUGAGCUUACGCUCUCUCGUGAUGAGGCCGCUGCAGUGGCAAGACAGUUCUAUAUGGACGAUUUCGUUACAUCAGAGAACUCCGUGGAGACGGCUAAAGUGAUGCUCCAUACUGUCGUCAAACUGGUCGCUGAAGGUGGAUUCAAGCUUCGGAAGUGGGUCAGCAAUUCACGAGAGGUGAUGGAGUCAGUAGCACCUGAAGACAGGGCUCAUGCCAAAACAGAUAUGUCCAUACCGCUGCCGUCCGAGCGUGUCCUUGGUAUAGCCUGGGAUCCAGAGACAGACAUGAUCGGUGUUCAUCGACCAGAAAAACGCACUGCCCCGCCUACCAAACGCGGAGUUCUAGCCACCACGGCAUCGAUCUUUGACCCACUCGGCCUGGUCGCACCGUUCACCCUUCGAGCGAAACUUCUCAUGCAAGAUCUCUGGAAACAGCAGCUGUCAUGGGACUCUAAGCUGAAUGAAAACGAUACACAUCGAUGGACGGCAUGGAAGAUGGAAGCUGAGCAGCUCUCCCGACUGAGGAUCCCCCGCUGUUUUGCUACGCCGGAGAGUGAAGUCGUUCGAAGAGAGCUCCAUAUCUUCAGCGACGCGUCGGAAGCGGCAUUCGGUGCCGUCGGCUACCUCAGGCAGAUCGACUCGACCGGCACAAUCGCCUGCUCGCUGGUGAUGAGUCGGACAAGAGUGGCACCGCUGAAAAUGCUGACCAUUGUGCGGUUAGAGCUGCAGGGCGCGGUUUUGGCCACACGACUGCAUGACAGCAUACAGUCGGCCCUCACGAUUCAAGUGAACCAGACGUUCUACUGGACCGACAGUGAAGUAGUUCUCGGCUAUAUCAACAAUGAGGCUCGACGGUUCCAGACCUUCGUCGCAAACAGAGUAGCCGAGAUCAGAAGCCGAUCGGAACCAUAUCAGUGGAGGCAUGUCCCUGGUUCCCUGAACCCAGCGGACGAAUGCUCCAGAGGCCAGCCGCUUUCCGAGAUCGACUCUGACAGCCGGUGGUUCCGGGGUCCAAACUUUCUCUACAGACCGGAAAUUGAAUGGCCUUCUGCUCCCAAAACGGCCCAACCAAGUGCUAGCGAUCCUGAAGUCAAAACGGUGGGCUCCGUGACCGUUGGACAGUCAGUUCCGACACUGCUGGUCGACCCGGCUCGCCACUCGUCGUGGACCCGCUAUAGGCGUGUUACCGCCUGGGUAUUGCGCUUCGCCUGCAACUUCAUCGCCAGACACUCAGCUCAGUAUCGAGACUGUGGCAACAACGGACCACUGUCUGCAGAGGAGCUGCGACUCGCUGAAAUCCACAUCCUCAAAGCAACUCAGCAGGACGCAUUCAAGUCGGAAAUCGACCUGCUCUCUCGUGGGAAGUCGGUGUCUGUCAGUAGCACUCUGCUUCAGCUUACGCCGCUGCUGGAUUCAAGCGGAGUCAUUCGAGUUGGAGGACGGCUGCAAGCAAGUCAACUUCCAUUCUCAGCCAAGCACCCGGCUCUCCUACCAAGACGACACGAGGUUACUCGGCUCAUAGUGACUUCAGUUCACCGUCAAGUGCUUCACUCGGGAGUCGACCACACGCUGAAUGAGCUUCGGCAGGUGUACUGGAUUCCGAAGGCGAGGAGCACCAUCAAGUCAUACCUACGAGGAUGCGCCGUUUGCAAGAAACUGCACAGCCGCCCCCAGGCCCCUCUGAUGGGGGACCUGCCUGAAGCGAGAUUUGAUUCUCAGCACGCUUUCAGCUCAGUCGGGCUGGAUUUUUUCGGUCCUCUCCAAGUGCGUGUAGGCCGCAGGACGGAGCGUCGGUACGUCUUGCUUAUCACCUGUCUGGCGUCAAGAGCGCUACAUUUGGAGACCAUCCCGUCUCUCGACACUGAUAGUUUCCUGCUAGCACUCCGCCGUUUUAUCGCUCGGCGCGGGAAACCAGCUCAGAUAUUCAGUGACAACUGGAAAAGUUUCAAGAGAGCCGAUAAGGAGCUUCGUGAUGCUCUCAGAAACUGGAACAACGAACAAAUAAGCAACACGAUGGCACAGAAGAACAUCAAGUGGAGCUUCAACCCGCCUGGCAGUCCUCACAUGGGUGGAUGCUGGGAGAGACUGGUGUCUUCAGUGAAAAGAGCACUACGCGUCGUCCUGGGCAACCAGCUCGUCACAGAUGAAGUUCUCAGCACUGUUCUCAUGGAGGUCGAGUUCAUGUUGAACAGUCGGCCGCUCACGUAUGUGAGCACCGAUGCAGAUGAUCCAGAGGCCUUGACUCCGAACCAUUUGAUUCUCGGUCGCGACUCUCCCAGUCUCGCUCCAGGCAUGUUUUCUGGGGAACAACUGAGUUUCCGGAGACGAUGGCGUCAUGCUCAGCAGCUUGCAGAUGUGGAGAAGGAAAUCAUGCCUCCCACUCCCGAUGGAGGCCCCAAAUGUCGGACCCCCUUUUUUGUAUUUGUCUGGGUGUCUGGGGCGCAUAGCGACACGGGACCGCCGGCUCGCUGGCCGGCUGCCCGUCCGGUCACGUGCUUGCGUCCCGACACCCACCAUAAAACCAUGUUCUUCGGAAAUACACGCGCUCACUUCUCCUCUACCGACUGUGACGCCAACACCAUCCGCGGACCCCGGCUCCGACGAGGGCGGCCGAAAUGGCCGGCCCACAAUUGGUGCCAGCGGUGGUGGUUGGUUGUCGGUGGAGGAUUUUUGGCUUCAGUCCUUGAGUUUCUGUUACCCAUCUGGGAGUGGCCACUAUCUGACUCCCCGAGCAUCGACUACGGAGAAACGCCGAUACGCAUCACGGUCUGCAAAAGCUGGAUGAUCAUAGUCAUGAUGGGAUCGGACGCUCAUCGCCGACCCGUCUGGCUGUCUCAGUCGCUCUGCAUCUGGUCCACGAAUCACACACUGCAACUGCGGACGCCAUCACCGACUGCGCAGCAGCCGUACCUGCAGCAGCAGCAGUCGUACCUGGCGUUCCAUGCGCGGUGUCAUACGUGGAUCUAUGCAGUUAGGAUCGUGAUUGCUUAUUGGUCGCCUCCUUUUGUCGGCUUGUUGGGGGAGGAAAGAUAUGUGGAGAAGGAAAUCAUGCCUCCCACUCCCGAUGGAGGCCCCAAAUGUCGGACCCCCUUUUUUUGUAUUUGUCUGGGUGUCUGGGGCGCAUAGCGACACGGGACCGCCGGCUCGCUGGCCGGCUGCCCGUCCGGUCACGUGCUUGCGUCCCGACACCCACCAUAAAACCAUGUUCUUCGGAAAUACACGCGCUCACUUCUCCU
rnacentral:misc_RNA from 1 species